UUCUUCGUCCCUCAUCUCCAUGCUUCUUCACAUCUCUCUCAGAUUCACACAGGUCAUUUUGGGGUGGAGUUAUUGAAGGGGUCGUUUGCACACUAAUAUGGUAAAUGUCGGAAGGAUCCAUGCCACACAUCAGGUGUGGGCCACGGUGCAUAUGCACUGGUGUGGAGAUCAAUAAGAUCCAUUCAUCAGGUGGUCCGGUCCGCAUGUAAAUGUAGAAUGUUGAGCUUCUUAUACUUGCGUGGCCCAUCUGAUAAUCAAAUGGGCCUGAUAUUUUGUUGUGGGCAUUUUUGUGAUGGGACCCACCUUACAAAUGGCUACUGAAUCAUCCUAGAAUUUCUCAUUAGUAUUCUCAAUACUACUGCUGGGGAUGCAAAUGGACUGGAUUGUUCAGGCCCAGUUUGCUUUCGUCCUAAUUCGGGUUUGAGCCUACAGGCCUGAUAAAUGAUUGAUCCUGGCCUGGCCUUGAUUCAACAGGCCCUACAGGAUGGCCGUACAGUAUGGCCCAGUCAGAUCUAACGCUAAAAUGAAAACUGUACAAUUUUUGAGAUCUAACAAGAAAAUAAGAUAAAGAAUUGUUGUAAAAAAAAGAAAAAAAAGAUUAGAAUUGUCACAAAAUGCAUGCUUUUCAUAGACCUCAAAAUCUUAUUGGGGUUUGCUUAUGUUUGCUCCAGGAUCUCUAGUCCCAUUUUAUAGAGUUGACAGGCCCCAUUUGCAGUGUAUAAUGUCUGGGUUUCAACUUCUGAUUGUGAAAUGACCCUCUUUGAUUUGGCAAUGGAAAAGAAGAAGCCAUCUUGUUUAGAUGUCUGAAGCAUUCCACCAAUUAGUUGCAGUUUUUAUAUCAGAUAAUAUUGUACUGACACAAAUCUGGAUUCAUUUCAUCAGGAAGCUUUUAGUCAAUAUCUGCAUAUGCAUGAAUUGUUUAACUAGGUACAUCAAGUCUAAAUUUGGAGAGCAUUGAACACUCUGCUUACUUGGAUGUGUUUACACAAACACAUAAGAUUCCUAGGAAUCUGAAGAUGACUAAGUAACCUUCUGGCUUUUACUUUCGUAAGAACAAUUGAAUGUGUUUAGGGAUUUUCUGCAUGUCCACUGCAUCCUUUUAUAAUAAUCACUAUUACAUUAAUGUUUUUCAGCUUAUUGCAUGUUUUGUGUUUGCAGGUAGUACAGGGACUAUUUCGCGCAUUUGUUGGAGUAUCUAGUAUCUUUUUUCAUGCGGACAGAACCCUUGCAAGACCUGGAUAGAAAUUUUCAAAAGCAUGCAACAUGCGUUUUUUCUUCAUUGCCUAAAAUUGUUCAUUUGAAGAGUGUCUGCCAAGGCAUGGCGCUGAAUUCAUUGCAGCGCCCCCAUUUUAUGAUUAUACCCAUCCAAAAUAUGGUAUUCUCAAUCUUGCCACAAAGCUUCCUAAGGGUUGCUUGAAGCCUGACCUAGGACCCAAAACAUACAUUGCGUAUGGAUCCUGCAAGGAGCUUGGGAGAGGUGAUUCAAUGACGAAACUGCAUUGUGAUGUCUGAU